rnacentral:rRNA from 1 species
AGUUCGGAUCGCAGUCUGCAACUCGACUGCGUGAAGGUGGAGUCGCUAGUAAUCGCGGAUCAGCAACGCCGCGGUGAAUGCGUUCCCGGGCCUUGUACACACCGCCCGUCAAGUCAUGAAAGUGGGCAGCACCCGAAGACGGUGGCCUAACCCUUGUGGGGGGAGCCGUCUAAGGUGAGGCUCGUGAUUGGGACUAAGUCGUAACAAGGUACC